rnacentral:rRNA from 1 species
CCUACGGGAGGCUGCAGUGAGGAAUAUUGGUCAAUGGACGAGAGUCUGAACCAGCCAAGUAGCGUGAAGGAUGACUGCCCUAUGGGUUGUAAACUUCUUUUAUAAAGGAAUAAAACGAGGCACGUGUGCCUUUUUGCAUGUACUUUAUGAAUAAGGAUCGGCUAACUCCGUGCCAGCAGCCGCGGUAAUACGGAGGAUCCGAGCGUUAUCCGGAUUUAUUGGGUUUAAAGGGAGCGUAGAUGGGUUGUUAAGUCAGUUGUGAAAGUUUGCGGCUCAACCGUAAAAUUGCAAUUGAUACUGGCAGUCGUGAGUACAGUUGAGGUAGGUGGAAUUCGUGGUGUAGCGGUGAAAUGCUUAGAUAUCACGAAGAACCCCGAUUGCGAAGGCAGCUUACUAAACUGUGACUGACAUUGAUGCUCGAAAGUGUGGGUAUCAAACAGGAUUAGAUACCCGAGUAGUC